rnacentral:lncRNA from 1 species
ACUAGUUUUAGUUUUUUGAGGAAUAUUCAUACUGGUUUCCAUAUUGGUUGUACCAAUAUACAUUUCCAUCAACCAUGGAGAGUUCCUUUUUACUGGGGAUCGAACUCAGGACCUUGCACUUGCCAGACAGACAUUGGCACCACUGAGCUGAAUCCCUGGCCCAGUUGAUUUGAUGAUGAUUAGUGAAAUUUCUGCAAAUGUGUACUGGCCAUUUUCAGGCUUAUGGAAGAGUUUGGAGGCUGGUGGCAGGACGUGCCUAGUCCUCAGCCUUGAGAAGUGUUACAAACCUCUGCCAUGUCUGCUGUCCUGUGGCCGACAGUCCCUGCUCUGCGGCUUCAGAGAGCAGCCGCGGUGGCAGUGGCCAGAUCCGGACCCGCUCGGCUCAUAGCCCUCACUUAAGGUGGGCCAUAAUAAAGAAGCACACUACAGUUCACGUUUCCAGGAGCCCAGGUAAGGACGAAAGCAGAACCCCCACAAUCCUCUUUGCCUCUGCUCCCAGCUCCCAGCUCCAUUAACCCCUUCAUCUUCAUGUUCCUUACCCCGUGGUCUUCUUAUUGCACACGGUACAGGUGGUUAGGAGAUCCAGGUGACUCAACUGGUAAAGAAGUAAAAGACCAGGCCUAUCCGCUUAGUCAUAUGUUGAACAUUUCCCACUUUGCUUAUAGGCUGACUUGCAAGUUUAUC